GUUAAAUCGCGGAUUAUACAUUGUGUAUAAAAAAUGCUUCGCGAUGGCACAAUUCAAGUACCUCGGAACAUUAGCAUAAUGUAUACACGAUGUACACAUCGCUAACACGUAUU
ensembl:snoRNA C24A1.8 ncRNA